AGGAUAGUAGUCAAGUAUGAUAUCUGAUUUGCAUUUAGAAGGUGUUACAAAAGUAACCUGUCUUA
rnacentral:tRNA from 1 species